rnacentral:lncRNA from 1 species
UUUUUUUAUAAAUGGUAGGACCUGAAGUUAUACUGUUGCCUAGAUAACAGUUAGGCUAAGACUGUGGAUGGCUGAUGGGAAACGUGGAUGUACUUCCUGGUGUAACGGGUGCCAGUUGCAAGUUACCACGCCAGAAGUAAUUACACACUGUCCUCCUGACAAAAGCAGAACUGCUUUUGAUGUAACACAUUUCAUGAGAAUGGGGAAACAGCUGUAUAUUUUCCCAGGCUAAGAUACAUCCUUUCUAAUAUAUUUUGUGGAAUGCUGUAUCCAGGCAGAGCACCGGUCCCAAAUUUGCAGCAUUAAAUUCCAAGUUAGGAGAAGUUUAAGGAGUAAAUUGCUUGAGCAGUGCAAAUGCCUCUUCUCUGCCAAUAGCAGAGCUAAGUUUUCUCCCUUUGUGGGUGUAACAAGUUCAUCCUAGUAAGCAUAGAAAUAGUAGACUGAUAUAAUUAGGAUUCUGUUCAUUUAAUUCAUUGUUACUUUAACUGGAUGCCUAUAUCUUCCUCUGCACAGAUUGAAGUUCUAGUUACUAAUGUUUCUUGAGUCACCCUGCUUUGAAAUAUAAAUCAACUAAGCUUUUGGUUUCUAAAAUAUGUAGUUUCUCUAGAAGUGAAUCCUUGUGAGGCCACAAAACAAUUAUAAUUUUAGAAUUGCCAUAAUGCUUUAUGUUUUAGUAAGUUUGUUAAUGUAAAGAAUUAAUUGUAGUCCUUUAAGAUGGGAUUUAGAAAAUAUUUUUAGAAUAUAUGAAGAGAAUUAUCUAUUAUGUUAAUUUGGGAGGAAACUAAAUGAAGUCUUCAUCUUCAGUCAUACUGAAGUUCAGAGUUACUUUCUUCAGAAAGACUGUAACAGUGAAUUGAAAGGAAAGAACACCCUUGAAACUCUUAGGUUUACUUUGCUGUUGUUAAUUUGUAAUUGGCAUUUUUGGGUUUUUUGGGUUUUUGGGGGUUUUUUUAAGCAAAAUGUCUCCAAAUCUAAAAUAGAAAAAUUGGGAUAAUAAGGUUUUGGUGUGGAAAACAUCUUGCUGGAAGCUCUAAGCUGCUCUUACAAGAUGAAUCUUUUGCUGCUGUACUGUUCCAGAUGGUGGUGUUAACCCUUCUGGUGCUUCAGCCAUGGCAGGGUUUUGUUAGGGAAACUUCUUGGAUAAGAACCUCUGCUUGAAUAAAAUAAUUGAUUUCUGAGUCUUUGUAGUUCAAACACAUACAAGGGAAAGGCUAUAGAUCACUAGGUUGCUAUUUAUGACCUAAACCAGACUCUGGUUGUAUGGGUCUAUAUGUAGAGCAGCGUGGAAUAUUUAAAUUGAGUAUGUAACACUAAAAACAGAACUUGUCUGUUAUUCAGUCUUUUUAAUUAAAAAAUAAAUAAUAUAUUCAUAGGAUAGAGGCAGGUUAAUUCCAAAAGCACACUUUUGAUGGAAUUCAGUUGCCCCUUCAAGGAAGCAUUGACAAAACUUCCAGCCUGUUCUACAGCCUUCAUGAUAAUUAAUGACAACUUCUCUGAUCUAUUCAGACUGCGGAGAAGAUAAUAUAAACACAAAUAAUGAAGAAGGGCCAUAGUCUGAAACUAAGGCUUUGGGACACCGUGUGGUCUGGUCUCACAA